rnacentral:rRNA from 1 species
UACGGAGGGUGCAAGCGUUGUUCGGAAUCAUUGGGCGUAAAGCGCGUGUAGGCGGCUUGGCAAGUCGGUUGUGAAAGCCCGGGGCCCAACCCCGGAACUGCAUCUGAAACUGCCUGGCUAGAGUCCCGGAGAGGAAGGCAGAAUUCCCGGUGUAGGGGUGAAAUCCGUAGAUAUCGGGAGGAAUACCAGCGGCGAAGGCGGCCUUCUGGACGGUGACUGACGCUGAGACGCGAAAGCGUGGGGAGCAAGCAGG